rnacentral:rRNA from 1 species
GACGAACGCUGGCGGCGUGCUUAACACAUGCAAGUCGAACGCUGAAGACCUGGCUUUUGUUGGGUUGGAUGAGUGGCGAACGGGUGAGUAACACGUGAGUAACCUGCCCUCUUCUUUGGGAUAACGCCCGGAAACGGGUGCUAAUACUGGAUAUUCACUGAUCUUCGCAUGGGGGUUGGUGGAAAGGUUUGUUCUGGUGGGGGAUGGGCUCGCGGCCUAUCAGCUUGUUGGUGGGGUGAUGGCCUACCAAGGCUUUGACGGGUAGCCGGCCUGAGAGGGUGACCGGUCACAUUGGGACUGAGAUACGGCCCAGACUCCUCCGGGAGGCAGCAGUGGGGAAUAUUGCACAAUGGGCGAAAGCCUGAUGCAGCGACGCCGCGUGAGGGAUGGAGGCCUUCGGGUUGUAAACCUCUUUCGCUCAUGGUCAAGCCGCAACUGUGGGUUGUGGUGAGGGUAGUGGGUAAAGAAGCGCCGGCUAACUACGUG